AACAAUGCAAACCUUUCCAUCAAGCCUGUGGGACACUCUACUUGCAACUGGUGGCCCAAGCCAAAAAAGUAGGCUAUUUCCUUGACCCACACUCACUACCUCAACUUUUACCCUGGCCAGGUGAUAUGUUAAAGCAGCGUCAUGCAUCAAGAUAGUUAAGGAGCUCACCAGAUUUGUCAGGACUUGAAAGGGUAGCUUAGCUUUGUGAAAAGACUGUUGGAUUAAAGGAAAGAGCAGACCUUGUUUUCAGACCUGACAAGUCACUUAUUAACUAUGUGACCUAAGGCAAGUCAUCUGUUUAUUACCCUCUUUCUUCAGAGUGAACGUGUGUCCUACAAACUCUCAGAGACCUUCUGAGGAUUUUAUGAGUUAACGCAUGAAAAUAUUUUGACAUGAUACCCAUGUGUAAGGCAAUGUCAGUAUUCUGAUAUUCACAGAGAUGAGGGAGCAGUCCUAUACCCAAGGAACUCUCUGUCUUCAUUCAUUCACUCAUUCAAUCAGUCAACAAAUACAUGUUAAACGUCUGCAAGCCAGGAAGUGUUCUAGGUGUUGGACAACAGAGAGAUAUCGGGUCUCUGCCACAAACAACUCGAUGGCAGGAAUCAUUUUGAUAUUCUUCACAUUCCCUGAGUGCCUGGCAUUGUGCUGAGCGCUAAAAGGAGUGGAAAAUGCGUUUGCCACUUAACACGCAGCAAUGUAGCUCAAGGAUGUCUGCUAAUUGGCACAGAGCAGUGCAACAUGGGAGCAUUUUCUGAGUGACCAGCAACAACGCAGUUUGGGGUGGAACGCUACCUAAAUUGUAUGAGUGAUGAAUGACGACGUGAACCUCACAACUUCGCUCUUCCUCAGCGUAUUAGUAUGGAAGGACUGCCAUGACAGAGUCCCACAAACCGAGUGGCUUAAGUAAUAGAAAUUUAUUGUCUCUGUUCUGGAGGCUAGAAGCCCAAGACCAAAAUGUCAGCAGGAUUGAUUACUUCCAAGGUUUGUGAAGAAGAAUUUGUUCCAUGCUUCUCUCCUCCUCUCUGGUGGUUUUCUGGAAUCUUUGGCAUUCCUUGGCUUGUAAAAGCAUCACCUCAACCUCUGCCUUCAUCUUCCCAUGGUGCUCUCUCUGUGUGCAUAUAUGUCCAAAUUUCCCAUUUUUAAAAGGGGAAAUUUUAACAUUUCCCAUUUUAUAAGUCACACUAGAUUAGGGGCGCACCCUACUCCGGUAUGAUCUCAUCUUAAUUAAUUACAUCUUCAACGACCCCUGUUCCAAAUAAGGUCCCAUUGUGAGGUACUGAGAGUUAGGACUUCAACACAUGAUUUUUGAGGGAGCGCAGUGAGAUCCACAACACAGUCACGCUGUGUGCCUUUCUGCAUGAUUUCUGUGUCCAGGACCUUGGCUUUCUCCUGCUUUCCUCUUCCUUAUAUCACACAGUUCUGGUUCCAAACUAGUAUUUAGUAAACCCACACCCACAGGUCACCUAUGGCAGUGCUCCGUAUUCUGAGCACAGCUGACUUCCCACCUUACAGUUCAGGCCCUGUGCUCUGGGAAGAAAGGAAGUUUGCUGUCUUAGGAACAUCCCAGACGAUAAGGAGCUAAGAGAACAACUUGUCUGAAGGACCCUUUGAUGACCCACUCAUCCUUCCUACACUCACGCUGUCUUUGC
rnacentral:lncRNA from 1 species